rnacentral:rRNA from 1 species
UACGUAGGGUGCAAGCGUUGUCCGGAAUUAUUGGGCGUAAAGCGCACGCAGGCGGUUCGCCAAGUUUGGAGUGACAGUUGUCGGCUCAACCGACAAAGGACUUCAAAAACUGGUGAACUUGAGGACGAGAGAGGAACAUGGAACUCCAGGUGUAGUAGUGAAAUGCGUAGAUAUCUGGAAGAACACCAAUGGCGAAGGCAAUGUUCUGGCUCGUUUCUGACGCUCAGGUGCGAAAGCCAGGGGAGCGAACGGG